UAGGGAAUCUUCGGCAAUGGGGGGAACCCUGACCGAGCAACGCCGCGUGAGUGAAGAAGGUUUUCGGAUCGUAAAGCUCUGUUGUUAAGGAAGAACGAGUGUGAGAAUGGAAAGUUCAUGCUGUGACGGUACUUAACCAGAAAGGGACGGCUAACUACGUGCCAGCAGCCGCGGUAAUACGUAGGUCCCGAGCGUUGUCCGGAUUUAUUGGGCGUAAAGCGAGCGCAGGCGGUUAGAAAAGUCUGAAGUGAAAGGCAGUGGCUCAACCAUUGUAGGCUUUGGAAACUGUUUAACUUGAGUGCAGAAGGGGAGAGUGGAAUUCCAUGUGUAGCGGUGAAAUGCGUAGAUAUUAGGAGGAAUACCAGUAGCGAAGGCGACUUUCUGGACACAAACUGACGCUGAGGUACGAAAGCGUGGGGAGCAAACAGG
rnacentral:rRNA from 1 species